rnacentral:rRNA from 1 species
UACAGAGGAGCCAAGCGUUGUCCGGAUUGACUGGGCGUAAAGCGCACGCAGGCGGCCGCGCGCGUGGGGUGUGAAAUCUGGCCGCUUAACGGCCAGGCGCCAUCCCAUACGGCGCGACUGGAGUGAUGCAGAGGUCGAUGGAAUUGCCGGUGUAGUGGUGAAAUGCGUAGAGAUCCGGAGGAACACCGAAGGCGAAGGCAGUGUCCUGGCUGGUGACUGACGCUGAGGUGCGAAAGCUAGGGGAGCGAACGGG